AUAUUAGGUAAUGCUCGUAAGAGUGAACUAGCUAACUGAAAUCAUAGAAUUUCUUUAAAUUCAUGAUGUCGUAAGGGAAAAUAAUGAUAAUACCUUACUAUGAGUGUCGUCCAAAACUGGUGCCAGAAGACUCGGUAAGACCAGAGACGCAAACGUUAAUCAUCAUAAACAGGCGUAAAGGGUUUGUAGGCAGCUUUUAUAGGGUUAUAUUAUUUUAAAAAAUAGUGUAAUCUUCAUUGAAAGCUAGAAUCAAAAAGAGGUUAUAGUGUAUAACGCCUAGAGGAGGGCUGAUAUCCAUAGAUCCUAGGCAGAAUACUUAGGGCGAAGGCCACUCUCCACUAAUGAUUGACGCUGAGAAACGAAGGUUAGGGUAGGAAAUAGGAUUAGAUACCCCGGUACUCCUUUCUGUAAACGAUGAAUGGUAGUCAUUAGUUAAAUUAAAUAACUAGAGGCGAAGUUAACACAAUAACCAUUCCGCCUUGUGAGUACUACUGCAAAGUAGAAAACAAAAAAAUUAGUCGGUCUCGAAGCAAACGGAGUGAAGCAUGUUAUUUAAU
rnacentral:rRNA from 1 species